GCACUUACAUAUCUCAUACAAAACACAACCACGCCUCUUCUCUCUCCCUCCCCCAACGAAACUCCAGUGUUGCGUAGUCUUGCCUGCCAGUGUGUGAAUCAGCAAAACCAGAAAGAAAACAUUACAGUAAGCCUUCCAAAAGAAAACAAAGUGGAGAUGGUCUGACUUAUCAUUAACGCCUGCAGCUAUGUGGUGAGGAAGAUCAGAGCUGCCCUCACCAGUGCUGACCAGCCAGUGAAGCCUUCCCAAGCAUCAUGUAGCCAGGCCAAAGAGCGAAAGGGAGUCAAGGAGCAGUAUAAACAAGUGCCAGUCAUGAGCAGCGAACCUCCUCGUGAGAGAGCUGUUCAGGAAUGCGGCUCCUGAGGUUAAAGGUCACACACUGUCCGUGGAGGAAGGAGGGACAAUGAUACCAGAAAAUGAGUUGCGUCAUCAAAGCUCAGCAAAUUCAUCCUGCCAAAAAAAAAAGUUUAAUAUAUCAUAGCUUUGUCAGUUUUAAGUAAUAUAAAUUUUAGAAAAUCUGCAUUUUAAUUACGGAAAUAUACCAGCCAGACCCCCUUUCCCCUCUCCUCAGCCAACACCUCCUUCUCUCCCUCUCUCAUGCUCAGUGUAAAACCUCUAAAUUAAAAAGCUCAUUAUCUCUACCCAGCAAGUGAAUGAAGACUUGGUCAUAAACUCUAUGUAUAUGGGAGGUGACCAGGUCUGAAGAAAUUGUUUUUGCUGUUUGUAUACCUUUCAAUAAAGUCUAUCACAGAAA